rnacentral:rRNA from 1 species
UACGAAGGGGGCUAGCGUUGCUCGGAAUCACUGGGCGUAAAGCGCACGUAGGCGGGUCUUUAAGUCAGGGGUGAAAUCCCGGAGCUCAACUCCGGAACUGCCUUUGAUACUGGAGAUCUUGAGUCCGGGAGAGGUGAGUGGAACUCCGAGUGUAGAGGUGAAAUUCGUAGAUAUUCGGAAGAACACCAGUGGCGAAGGCGGCUCACUGGCCCGGUACUGACGCUGAGGUGCGAAAGCGUGGGGAGCGAACAGG